CCCCUCUCAGGAUCACACCCGGAGAGUUUCCAGUCCUCUACCAGCCUCGGCUACAGGUGGGAAAGUCAAGCAGAGGCCUGCCCAUUCCAUUCCUAUCUUGGCCAGUGGCUAGCGAGUGGAAGGCAAUCUGCUACGAGU